UAAACUAAAAGAUUAUAGAGGGUUAAAGCGAGGUAUAGGUCAGAGAAAAGUUGUUAAAAAGCUUGUUACAAAAAGUUAUAGAGGGUUAAAGUAAGUUAUAGAAGGUCAGAAAAGUUGUCGAAGGUCAGAGAAAAGGUUGUUACAAGUCAGAGAAAAAUGUAAACUGUGCUAUGGUUUCUCAUGUCUACAAACAGUAAAUUUUAAAAAUGGUAAUAUAAGUUAAAAUUUUAACCAUAUUAAGCUGAUUUUGUUUUUAAAAAGUCCUGUUUAUUUCUCAAGUAAAUUAUGUAUACUUGUUUUAAAAUGUUCUGUUUCCUGGUUUAGCCAGCACAUGGCCAACUGGUCACAUGACUUGACUGGUCGCCAUUUUGCUAAAGUUAAAAAAAGAAUACUUAAACCGCCAUCUUGACUAAAGGUGACCCCAUGGAAAUUAGAGGUACCAUCUUAGAAACAAGUUUUUCAAUUAAGAUUUAAAAUGUUAAUGCUUAUACUUAAAGAGCUUCAAUUUAAAAUUAUUCUUAAGCAAAGCCUGACAAUGUAAAGUUCUUGUUUUAUAAAAGAUGCUAAUCUGGUACAGUUUGUGUUUUCAGAAGUUAAGUUUAGAAUGUUGGUGACACACACCUUUAAGCUCAGGAUGUAGGUGGCACACGCCUUUAAUCCCAGCAUUCGGGAGUAAGAGGCAGAUGGAUCUUUAUGAGUUCAAGGCCUGCCUGGUCCGGCAGAUUGAAUUCCAGGACAGGCUCCAAAGUCACAGAAAAACCCUGUCUCAGAAAGAAGUUAAGCUACUGUUUAAGGAAUAUAAGGUAGCUCUAUGCAGUUUUAAGUUCAGCUGUGCUGUUUCAAAUAUCUUACUAAGUUAAAACCAGUUACAGUCAGACUAAAAAUUACUUACAGAAAGAAGACUUUACCUAGCCACCUGUGUGCUUCUUGUAUGCUUAAGAAAAGUAACUAAAACAGACCUCUAAUGCUUCAGAGAUCUUCAGAAUAUGGCAUUUAAAUUGUUAUCUUUAAAGUUUAUAAUGUCAGACAGACCGCCAGAUCCGGACAGUGACCCAAAGUCUCCAAAGAAGAUUACGAGGCACCUCAGUUCCUGCACCUGGACCAGUGAGAGAGAUGCUCAGAUGUGAUACCUGCCGCCUGCCAGAACCUGGCCGAGACUGUGGACAAAGCUGCUGGACACUGGAAAAUUGAUUGUACCCCUUUGCCUAGACAAAACAAGUUUAAACAUGUCUUAAACAGGUUUCUGCUUCUGGCAGACAUCUGAGUAUCAGUUGCGGACUACAGGCUGUUCUAAGUAGACUGCGAGCCCUGGACUUGCUGUGGAUGUGAACCAAGUCAGCUGAUGUGGACACUCCCUGACUCUGCAACAGUGUCUGCUAACCAGAAGCCCCUGAUGGAUUCCCCAUUGCCUAAAUUCCUUUUUGCUUUUGACUAGCAUUUCAACCUUCUGGGGUCCCUAACUUCGUCCCAAAGUCAGCAGGAAGCAGUUUGAAAAAGAAUUUCAGCGUCCAUUUUCCCUGGUUAAAAUGCUAAGUCAAAAGGAACUCCUUACAUGGGGAUGCCAAUAUCUAUCACUUCCUGAUGGGGAUACUAGAGAGACAGCAAUUCCAUGAUUGGAAUUUCCAGAAAAGAAAAUGGG
ensembl:lncRNA